AGGUUGGGAUCGGCCGCAAUGCUCUGUGCUGGAAGUAUUGCACUUGUCCCGGCCUGU
rnacentral:pre_miRNA from 2 species